rnacentral:rRNA from 1 species
CCUACGGGCUGCAGCAGUAGGGAAUAUUGGACAAUGGGGGCAACCCUGAUCCAGCAAUGCCGCGUGAGUGAUGAAGACCUUAGGGUUGUAAAGCUCUUUUACCCGGGAUGAUAAUGACAGUACCGGGAGAAUAAGCCCCGGCUAACUCCGUGCCAGCAGCCGCGGUAAUACGGAGGGGGCUAGCGUUGUUCGGAAUUACUGGGCGUAAAGCGCACGUAGGCGGCGAUUUAAGUCAGAGGUGAAAGCCCAGGGCUCAACCCCGGAACUGCCUUUGAGACUGGAUUGCUUGAAUCCGGGAGAGGUGAGUGGAAUUCCGAGUGUAGAGGUGAAAUUCGUAGAUAUUCGGAAGAACUCCAGUGGCGAAGGCGGCUCACUGGACCGGCAUUGACGCUGAGGUGCGAAAGCGUGGGGAGCAAACAGGAUUAGAUACCCGUGUAGUC